GACGAACGCUAGCGGCAGGCCUAAUACAUGCAAGUCGAGGGGUAACAUUAACUUCGGUUAGAUGACGACCGGCGCACGGGUGCGUAACGCGUAUGCAACCUACCUUGUACUGGAGGAUAGCCCGGGGAAACUCGGAUUAAUACUCCAUAGUAUCACGAAGAGUCAUCUCUAUGUGAUUAAAGAUUUAUUGGUACAAGAUGGGCAUGCGUCUGAUUAGUUUGUCGGUGAGGUAACGGCUCACCAAGACGAUGAUCAGUAGGGGUUCUGAGAGGAUGAUCCCCCACCACUGGCACUGAGAUACGGGCCAG
rnacentral:rRNA from 1 species